rnacentral:misc_RNA from 1 species
GAACGCACCUUGCGCCCUUUGGCUAUUCCGAAGAGCAUGCUUGUUUGAGUAUCAGUAAACACCUCAAAGACUUCAAUUUGUUUUGAAUGGCUUUGGACUUGAGCAAUCCCAACACCAGUCUUUACGAUCGGUGGAGGGUUGCUUGAAAUGCAGGUGCAGCUGGACAUUCUCCUGAGCUAAAAGCAUAUUUAUUUAGUCCCGUCAAACGGAUUAUUACUUUUGCUGCAGCUAAUAUAAAGGGAGUUUGACCGUUUUGGCUGACUGAUGCAGGAUUUCACAAGGGUCGGCAACGAUUCUUGUAAAACUCGAUCUCAAAUCAAGUAAGACUACCCGCUGAACUUAAG